AAUAGUUUUUUAAAUGAAAACUGGGAUGAAUGAAGUGAUGAAAUUUACACUGUCUUAUAAUAAUUUAUUAAAAUUAUUAAUUAAGUGAGAAUACUUAGAUGAGAGCAUGGGACGAGAAGACCCUAUAGAAUUUUAUAUAAGUUUAAUAAAAAAUUUAGUUUUGAAUUUAUUAAAUUUAUAUUUCAUUGGGAGGAUGAUUAAAUUAUAUAAACUUUAAAAUAUGUAAACCAUUAAUUUGUGAAGUAGAAAUUUAGAAUGAUUAAAAUAAAUUAAAGUAGAAUUAAUUACCUUAGGGAUAACAGCGUUAUAUUUUUAGAGAGAUCUUAUUAAUAAAAAUGAUUGC
rnacentral:rRNA from 1 species